GCACAGAGCCUGACGCGGGGCUCAAACUCAUGAACCACGAGACCGUGACCUGAGCCUGAGCCGAAGUCGGACGCUCAACCGACUGAGCCACUCAGGUGCCCCUCUCCAUGCAUUUUUGAAUGAGUAAACUAAAUGAAUAAUAAGAGACAAAAGAGAGAGCCAGGCAGGGACUUCAUUCAGCCUGGGCCCUGGAGAGAGGGGACCAAGGGUAUGAGUGAAGGGUAGGUGCAUUGUUUUGCCAGCUGUGUGCAGAUGUGUGAGGCGCCCCUGCUGCUGAUACCUCCAACACUCACACAGGGGCACAGAGACCUCAUUCUUUAAUGCCUUUUGGCUGUGGAGGGAGGUGGGAGGUCCUGGGUUCUGGACCCAGCUGUGGUGUGGCCUGAUUCAGGAAUGGAGUUUCUGUUCUCUCUCCUCCCUGUCUUUCUUUCUACAGGAUUGAGCCCCCAUCAUGUUUUGGGCCCAGAAACAGAGAGGAAGACAGACAGAAGAAGGAGGGUGAUGGGCAGGCAGGAGUGGCAGGAGACGGACAUUUUCAUCCCAGUAGCCCAGGGGGCUGUGAAGAGGAUAAGUGGGAGGAGACUGGUUCUGUCCCAGUGCAAGUGACAUUUGCAUUGAGCCUUAAAAAAACCAAGAGCAUUUGGGUAGGUGCAGGGGCGGGGACCACUUUCCAGGCAAGAGAAACAGCCAAGCAGGAGGCCAGCAGUGUCAGCUCAGAGGGGGAGCCAGAAUGCCCCCCCCCCCAUAUUUCCUCCCUCUGUGGCCUGGGCAGCAACCUGCUCUGGGGGGGGGGGGUGAACUCCUUGGUCCCUUGUGCACCCCCAUUAGGUCUGCAGCCUGGGGCAGGGCCUAGUGGGCUCCCAGGAUGGCUACUUAGGGCCACAGGGAGGGGGGCAGUUGGAAAAAGGCCACACCCCCAGCCUGCUGCUCCCGGACCUAGGGUGGGGGUUCCAUUUUCCUUGCUACCCACAGAAACUCCAACAGUUGAUCCUCUCUUACUAACCUAGAUGGCCCAGGAACUCUUGGGUUUGAGCAAAGCUGCUGAUGCUGGUCGGUGCCUCCCAUUCCACAGAAGUGUCUCACAGCCUGUGGGGCACCCGGCUGCAGACGGGCAGCAGCGGGGCCUGGGCUAGGCCAGGGAGGGAGGAACGGGCCGGUCGGCCGGGAAUGGCAAGGAGACCUAGGGGCGGGCCAGCGGGGCUAGGCGGCUCGGGAAAGGCCUGAGUCAGGCUUCUCCCAAUAAACUGCACGUGAAUAAUUCAGCAGCCUUGCGGGGGCUCAUUGCAUUAGUGCCGCCGCCAGCUCAGCCCCUCGCCUUCCCGCUGAGGGGAGGGGGUCACUCAUGCGCUCGAAGAGGGGAGCCAGGUAGAAGACCCCCCUGCCCGCUGGCAUCCUGGAUUCUGCCGGGACCAAGUCCCAGAAGACUCCCUGGUCCCCGAUCUCCUCCGACCCCAAGGUCAGAGGGCUGCCUGCCAGGCAGUGCUGUUCCAGCUCAGCUGCUCUCAAGACCCUGGGCGAGACCACUCAGGCGGCAGAAGCAAGGCCAGAAUAGGGGACGCGGGGUCCGACUGCGGAGGACCAAGCUGCUGCAGUGCCCAACCGCACCGCAGAAUGAGGGCGGCUUGGCUCCCAGCAAAGCGAAGAAGGCCGGCUCAGUCCCGCGCUCAGGGCCCGGAUGCCCUGAGGCUGCUCCUCGGGCCAGGAUUUUCCUAGCGAGCCGAGCGAAGCUCCAGGCAAGCCGCAGGGCCCUUCAUUUUCUGUGGAUCCCAGGUUACCCGGUCUCUGUUGCUGCCUUUCGGACCCACGGAGCCGGUUCCUGCCACGCCAGCCUCGGGUGUGGGCCCCGGGGCCGAGUGCUCGAGCGGAAGGUGGGAGGCGGGAGGCAGUGGGGAGAGGCGGAGGGGGAGGGAAGGGAGCCCCAGGCUGCUGGGCCUGAGCGAGAGGGUCAGUGCGAGCGCCUGCAGCCUUAUUUCAUUUGGGCGGAACCAGCUCCCCUUGGCUAUUCCACUUCCCACGUGUCCCUAUGUUCCUGAUCUUGAGGGAUCACAUCCCAUCAAACAUCCACCGACGCUUAAUUGCUCCAGCUCUUUCCCACGCCCCUCCCCUUCCAUUAGGCCCACCCCAUCCUGUCUGCAGUAGCGACCCCGCUCCUGCGUGCUGAACUUCGGGGCCCAGACCCUUGUGCCGCCCCGCUGGCCCGCCUGGGGCCCGGGGCGGCGCCGGCAAGUUCCCCACACCUAGUCUUCAGGGUGUUCCUGACCGGAAGCCGGACCAUUAGCCCUGCGGAGGGCAGCUCGUGUCCGCCUGCCCCUCUCGGCAACCCCAGCAAUCUUUUUCUUCUGCCCAGGCUUACUCCUCCUCUUCCUCUUUCCUCAGCCUCCAGGCAUUUCUUUCUCAUUCCUUUUUUUGUUCAGUGGGGUGCUCAGCCCCGGCCUCUGGCUCCUGGGGAGGCUUGGGCUUACUCGGCCGGCAGCUCUGAGUCCUCAGCUGAAACGCUGGGUUAACCACCAAAUUUCGAACGCCUUCUGCAGCAGGGCCACCUGAGUGUCUUUGCAGAGGCAGGUGAGAGGGCUGAUGGCACCAUGACCUCAGACAACUCCACUCCAGGGCAGCUGUGUGAUCUUGGGAACAGCUGAUAGGGUGCCAGGUGUUAGAAACCUUCUCUCCAAUCCUGGCCGGGUCCCGGUUUUACCCAAGAGGAAACUGAGGUUAAGAUCACCUCCCGCUGGUCCGUGCCACAGGUGAACGAGUUUGGCGGCUCCCAGAGAAGGAUCGAAAUAAUACCCAGUGAGGAACUUCCGGCAUAUAAUGGGACAGCCUCUGGGACAGGUCAGGGAGGACAGCGUUUCUCCAAGCCCAAGUCCGGGGAGGUGGCCUUGGCAGGGCCAAGGUAGAAGCCAUCGCUCCCCAAGUUUUCCUCCCACGAGUCUAUGCAUCUGUUCAUGAAUCUAUCUGUCCUGUGGGGCCCACGUUCCCAGAAGCCCCCCACCGAGGGAGAGAAGGAGCACCAGAGAGAAGGCACACGGCCCAGGGCAGAGGUAUGGCCAAACGAUCCCCCCACUCUUUCACCCUCUCCAGGGGCGUCUCUCUGAGGUAGGCUCCUCCUAGCUGCAGAAGUGGGACUGGUUGUGGGGGAGUAGGGGUGGGUAGGCUGGAAGCUGGGGCCUGGGGACCCCUGACUGGGCAGGGGAGGGCUGUAAUCCGGCUCCCCCGGCGGCCGUCCCCAGCUCCCGCUGCAAGGUCGCCCCGUGGCAGCCCCGACAGGCCAUGCGUCCCUCGACACAAGUCCCAUUAUAUUGUAUUUAUGUUUCACUUUAUUGGUUUUUUUUUCCCUCUCUUAUUAUUGUCUCACUCUGGGGGAGGCAAUGGAUAUAAUAUAUUCAUCUUUAUUAUACCAAAUCUGUGUGAAGCAUUUAAUAAAACGCUGUUUCCACACAGCCAGGGAUAUUAGUGUGAGCUAUUCUUAAGUUAAUGCUCGGGUAUUGAGGGCGCUUCUGCCACAGCGCCUGCUGCUGGCGGCCCCGGGGAAGCUCAGGCCCUGGCCGGGGGCGCCUGGCGCCCACCCAGAGCGCCCGGUGCCCUUCCCGCUUGAGUGCUCAUCCUAGCCGUGGCUCGGUGACCCUUCGGGCCCCGGCCUGGGAGGAGGGCCUCGGAAGAGUGGAGUCCAAGCCCUCCCCACCCCGCUCGAGUUUCUAACUGACUGUGAGCCUUGGUUCGUGCCUAGGCAAAGGACUAGAAUUCCAUAACCGCUUUCCUCUCAGGGCUCUUCGUUGGGAGGCUGAAGAGGCCUCGGGGGUGGACAGGGCUUUAUAAACAGGAAGGAAAAAAAGCGAGGAUUUGUCGAGAUGGGGUCGACGAGGGCCAGAGAGAAACAACGGAGGUCACAAAAGUAGUUCUAGACAACACAGACUCUCAAGCUGAACCCCAGGCCAGGCUGCAGAGCCAGCGCAACUCCAGUUUGAGCCGAGCCGGGAAGCUUUCGGUUCACCUGGGCUUUACCCGCAGCAGCCGCUGGUGAAGGCGACUGUGUGUAGCAGAGCUCUGGGACUGUCACAGUGGGCUCUCCCAUGGUUCACCCCCUAGGUAGGCAAACGGUCUCCGUAGUCCAGUUUACAGCUAGCACACUGACACUCAGAAUGGUCAAGUGGCUUGUUUGAGGUGCCCCCUCUGGAAUGUAGCACGCUGGAUCAUACCGUCUUCAGACUCUGCUCCCUUCCCUUCUUCCCCCAGCCCUCCUGCUCCCUACCUCCCCCCCCCCUUCUCCAGCCCCAUCCUCCAGGGUUUUCCAUGGCUUAUGAGCUUUGCAUUUCUGCUUCCUACACACACACACACACACACACCCCUACCUGGGGAUGCUCAGGAGAAGGAGAAACAGUCACACGGAUUUCCACAUCCAGGCUCACUGCCCAAUGUCCUUUAGAGCCUGCUGCUUGGGUUCUUUUAAGGCCCAGAUUUGGGAACAUCAGCCUGUCUUAUACCAGUGCUGUGGGGGAAGGUUAGGGGCAACUAGACCAGGACAGAAGGAGGUGAUGUGCAGACAAAGAUUGGAGGGGGCAGGUAAGUCCCCCUGUUAUGACUAAUACCCUCCCAUAGUCCUCCUGUGCCCCCAUCACCUCGUAUUUGGGGCUGUACUAGGGCACCCCCCACACUGUAGGCAGCUGGUGGAGUUUGUUUGGAGGCUAAGGGUAUUGGACAAAUCUGACAGUUUCCAGCUGGGCUGGCUGGGGGAGGAGGAUACAGACCCACUGUGUGGCCGGGUUGGGACUCAGGUGAGGCAAGUGAGGUGCCUUGGGCACAGGACUGAAGGGGGUACUCGCUCUGAGCGUUAUGUACUUAAAUUCCGGGCUUAAGCAUCUCAUUUGCCUCACCCUAGUCCCAGCUCUUCUGUGUGGUCCCAGGGGUGGAAUCACCACCACAAAUUGCUGAGCAGAGAUGGGAUGACUUCAGCUUAUCCUUGUGAAUGGCUUUCUGAAGGGUAGAAGCGAAGACAAUGGAAUGAGCUGCCUUGUGUGGGAGUGAGCUCCCCCCAACAGGUGGAGUAUGCAAGCGGGGCUUAGAAUCUGCCGAGAAGGCUGGUAGACACAAUUUUAUUGUCGUCCUCAUCAUCUUCGCUAUUUUACCAUCACUCCCUUUGUGCCACAUAA